UACGAAGGGGGCUAGCGUUGCUCGGAAUCACUGGGCGUAAAGCGCACGUAGGCGGAUUGCUAAGUCAGGGGUGAAAUCCUGGAGCUCAACUCCAGAACUGCCUUUGAUACUGGCGACCUUGAGUCCGGGAGAGGUGAGUGGAACUGCGAGUGUAGAGGUGAAAUUCGUGAGAUAUUCGCAAGAACACCAGUGGCGGAAGGGCGGCUCA
rnacentral:rRNA from 1 species